AAGUUGCCCUGGGUGGGGAGGGGAGGCUGGGACCAGCCCAGGUGCUGACCCCAGCCUCUCCUCCUCACCCAGGGCAAGUU
rnacentral:pre_miRNA from 1 species